CGCGGCCUAUCAGCUUGUUGGUGAGGUAAUGGCUCACCAAGGCUUCGACGGGUAGCCGGCCUGAGAGGGCGACCGGCCACACUGGGACUGAGAUACGGCCCAGACUCCUACGGGAGGCAGCAAUGGGGAAUAUUGCACAAUGGGCGCAAGCCUGAUGCAGCAACGCCGCGUGCGGGAUGACGGCCUUCGGGUUGUAAACCGCUUUCAGUAGGGACGAAGCUAACGUGACGGUACCUACAGAAGAAGGACCGGCUAACUACGUGCCAGCAGCCGCGGUGAUACGUAGGGUCCGAGCGUUGUCCGGAAUUAUUGGGCGUAAAGGGCUUGUAGGCGGUCCGUCGCGCCAGGAGUGAAAACUCGGGGCUUAACCCCGAGCCUGCUUUUGAUACGGGCGGACUAGAGGGAUGCAGGGGAGAACGGAAUUCCUGGUGGAGCGGUGGAAUGCGCAGAUAUCAGGAGGAACACCGGUGGCGAAGGCGGUUCUCUGGGCAUCACCUGACGCUGAGAAGCGAAAGCGUGGGGAGCAAACAGGCUUAGAUACCCUGGUAGUCCACGCCGUAAACGGUGGGCACUAGGUGUGGGGGACAUUCCGCGUUCUCCGUGCCGAAGCUAACGCAUUAAGUGCCCCGCCUGGGGAGUACGG
rnacentral:rRNA from 1 species